CUUUACGCUCUGCGUGAGGCAGAAACCGGAAAUAUACAGCAGUGCCCUUCCCCGCGUGCGCGAGCCGGCGACUGCCUCUCGUGUCCUCUGUCCUCCAGCCGUGCCAAAGGAAACCCAUCCCUGCCAUUCUAGUCACUGGGUCCAGUGGCUCAAACCUUAUCUCUACGCUGGCCUGUGGAUUUCGGCAUGUUCGCUCUGACUUCCCAAUACUCUGCCUUUCUUCAUGAAGAGAACAUGGAAGAAGAAAGAACUGCUGAGUUACAGAAAAACAUGACACAGGGUAUCCACUUCACACACCCUAUUUGAUCUCCCAGUGGAAAGAAGAGGAAGACCUAGAGACGGUGGAGAGAGGACCUACCCAGGGAGAUCAUCAGGAAGG